rnacentral:rRNA from 1 species
UACAGAGGUCUCAAGCGUUGUUCGGAUUCAUUGGGCGUAAAGGGUGCGUAGGUGGCGCGGUAAGUCGGGUGUGAAAUUUCGGAGCUUAACUCCGAAACUGCAUUCGAUACUGCCGUGCUUGAGGACUGGAGAGGAGACUGGAAUUCGAUGGUGUAGCAGUGAAAUGCGUAGAGAUCAUGAGGAAGACCAGUGGCGAAGGCGGGUCUCUGGACAGUUCCUGACACUGAGACACGAAGGCCAGGGGAGCAAACGGG